rnacentral:rRNA from 1 species
UACGUAGGGUGCGAGCGUUGUCCGGAAUUAUUGGGCGUAAAGGGCUCGUAGGCGGUUUGUCGCGUCGGGAGUGAAAUCCACUGGCUUAACUGGUGGCUUGCUUUCGAUACGGGCAGACUGGAGGUAUGCAGGGGAGAACGGAAUUCCUGGUGUAGCGGUGAAAUGCGCAGAUAUCAGGAGGAACACCGGUGCGAAGGCGGUUCUCUGGGCAUGUCCUGACGCUGAGGAGCGAAAGUGUGGG